AGAGUUUGAUCAUGGCUCAGAUUGAACGCUGGCGGCAGGCCUAACACAUGCAAGUCGAACGGUAACAGGAAGAAGCUUGCUUCUUUGCUGACGAGUGGCGGACGGGUGAGUAACGUCUGGGAAACUGCCUGAUGGAGGGGGAUAACUACUGGAAACGGUAGCUAAUACCGCAUAACGUCGCAAGACCAAAGAGGGGGACCUUCGGGCCUCUUGCCAUCGGAUGUGCCCAGAUGGGAUUAGCUUGUUGGUGGGGUAACGGCUCACCAAGGCGACGAUCCCUAGCUGGUCUGAGAGGAUGACCAGCCACACUGGAACUGAGACACGGUCCAGACUCCUACGGGAGGCAGCAGUGGGGAAUAUUGCACAAUGGGCGCAAGCCUGAUGCAGCCAUGCCGCGUGUAUGAAGAAGGCCUUCGGGUUGUAAAGUACUUUCAGCGGGGAGGAAGGGAGUAAAGUUAAUACCUCUGCUCAUUGACGUUACCCGCAGAAGAAGCACCGGCUAACUCCGUGCCAGCAGCCGCGGUAAUACGGAGGGUGCAAGCGUUAAUCGGAAUUACUGGGCGUAAAGCGCACGCAGGCGGUUUGUUAAGUCAGAUGUGAAAUCCCCGGGCUCAACCUGGGAACUGCAUCUGAUACUGGCAAGCUUGAGUCUCGUAGAGGGGGGUAGAAUUCCAGGUGUAGCGGUGAAAUGCGUAGAGAUCUGGAGGAAUACCGGUGGCGAAGGCGGCCCCCUGGACGAAGACUGACGCUCAGGUGCGAAAGCGUGGGGAGCAAACAGGAUUAGAUACCCUGGUAGUCCACGCCGUAAACGAUGUCGACUUGGAGGUUGUGCCCUUGAGGCGUGGCUUCCGGAGCUAACGCGUUAAGUCGACCGCCUGGGGAGUACGGCCGCAAGGUUAAAACUCAAAUGAAUUGACGGGGGCCCGCACAAGCGGUGGAGCAUGUGGUUUAAUUCGAUGCAACGCGAAGAACCUUACCUGGUCUUGACAUCCACGGAAGUUUUCAGAGAUGAGAAUGUGCCUUCGGGAACCGUGAGACAGGUGCUGCAUGGCUGUCGUCAGCUCGUGUUGUGAAAUGUUGGGUUAAGUCCCGCAACGAGCGCAACCCUUAUCCUUUGUUGCCAGCGGUCCGGCCGGGAACUCAAAGGAGACUGCCAGUGAUAAACUGGAGGAAGGUGGGGAUGACGUCAAGUCAUCAUGGCCCUUACGACCAGGGCUACACACGUGCUACAAUGGCGCAUACAAAGAGAAGCGACCUCGCGAGAGCAAGCGGACCUCAUAAAGUGCGUCGUAGUCCGGAUUGGAGUCUGCAACUCGACUCCAUGAAGUCGGAAUCGCUAGUAAUCGUGGAUCAGAAUGCCACGGUGAAUACGUUCCCGGGCCUUGUACACACCGCCCGUCACACCAUGGGAGUGGGUUGCAAAAGAAGUAGGUAGCUUAACCUUCGGGAGGGCGCUUACCACUUUGUGAUUCAUGACUGGGGUGAAGUCGUAACAAGGUAACCGUAGGGGAACCUGCGGUUGGAUCACCU
rnacentral:rRNA from 1 species